rnacentral:sRNA from 1 species
GCUUGAAAAGGAAUACACUACAAUAAAAACGAAAGAAAUGGAAGAGCAAGUUGAAAUUAAAAGGUUACGCACAGAAAAUAGACUUUUAAAACAGCGCAUCGAGACAUUAGAAAAACAUAAAUGCAGUUCCAACUACAACGAAGAUUUUGUGCUACAGCUAGAGAAGGAAUUGGUCCAAGCCCGACUGAGUGAAGCUGAGUCUCAGUGUGCAUUAAAAGAGAUGCAGGAUAAAGUCUUGGAUAUAGAGAAGAGGAAUAACUCCCUUCCUGAUGAGAAUAAUAUUGCAAGGCUUCAGGAAGAACUCAUUGCUGUGAAACUUAGAGAAGCAGAAGCCAUUAUGGGUUUGAAAGAACUUAGACAGCAAGUCAAGGAUUUAGAGGAACACUGGCAGGUAUAUUAAUAUAUUUUGUGUGCUUUUUUAAAAGAGAGUAAAACCGAAAUAUCCAAUUUGUAAGAGUUUGAAGUACCUGAUGACCUACAGUAGAUGAGUUUAAA